GCUGUUUAAAGGCACUGUUUGUUUCGGCUCGGAAAAUUUUCCGUGUAACAUUUUAAGUAAAAUUAGAUUUUCCUUCGUUUGUUUUUUAAUUUAGAAAAUUUUCAUUGAAUAAAAUUUUACAAGAGUGCUACCAUUUUCCGGAAAAUCGAAUGGAAAAUUUACUUUAAAAUUUGUCGGUAAAACAAUUUUGGAAAAUCCAUCGAGACUCGGCACUCAAGACUCGAGAAAUUGCUUCCUCAUCUCCUCCUUCCCUCCUCCCUGCAGAUCUCGAUUUCCUACUUAUGCUUCUCUCCUUCUCAUCUCAGACCUUGGUUUCUCAAUCUUGAUUUGCCUGCAACUCCGUUCUUCUUCUCAGUCUACGACUGCCACUGCAGUGGCAAACAACUCUACAAGUGCCCUCGGACCAGCAGCCAUUUGUUUAUCAAAACCAACUUCAUAUGUUCUUGGUGUCUCUGAGGUAAUUCCAGGGGCAGCAGGUUAAUGAGAAAUCUGGGAAGGAAGACAUGGGUCCUCUGAUUCUAAAUGCUUUUGAACUAAUCAUUCUCUCGCAAGGGCUGAACCUUUCAACAUUAUUUGAUCAUGGACAGAUGAGGAUAGAAGGUCUUCAACGAAUAAGGCUUCACAUUUCUCUGUUAUUUUGGAAGUUUUUGAAGCAGCUCCCUCUUUUUUCAUGGUGGACAUUUAUAAGGCGAUUCAGUUGAAUUCCUCAAGGUCAGAUGCUUCUUUAUAUCCAUAGACUUGUAGUGACCAGUAAAUUUGCAGUUAUGUAUUUCAUGGCUAGCCACCACGGAGGUGUGCUUGGUGGCCAGUGCCAACAGGAGUUGUAAAGCCAUUUACACAUCUGAUGGUGCCACCAGUGUGUUACUCAGAUAUGGGAUGACUAGGGCUUCGGUUAUGAGGUUCGGCUCUGUAAAAAGGGCUGCAGAGUUGAAGUUUUAUAUGGAAAAUCUUGUCAAUUUCGAGACUUUCGAGGCCAUUUCCAACAAGUAUGUGAUUUUGGCUUGGAAUUGUUGCAGAAAGGGUCUUCUUGGGAUUGACAGUUCCAAUUGUGGUCAUGGAAUCUGGGCGUAAUUCUUAUGUAACCACGGGUUUAAAUAUUGACUAGCGUUGGAUUCUUAUUGUGAAUUAAGAGAAUUGUUAUAAAAUACAUUAGAACCAUAGGGUUAAACAGUUGAGCUCUCAUAUUAUACCAAUACUCACCCAUAACGAUUCUAUCUUUAUUUGUUAUAGUAUUGAAUUGUUUUAUCUAUGUUCAA